GUGUCAGCAGCCGCGGUAAAACGUAGGAGACAAACGUUAUCCGGAGUUACUGGGCGUAAAGGGCGUGCAGGUGGUUGGUUAAGUUCGGCGUGAAAGCUUCUGGCUAAACCGGGAGAGGUCGUCGGAGACUGGCCAGCUAGAGGGUGAUAGAGGCGGGUGGAAUUCCGGGUGUAGUGGUGAAAUGCGUAGAGAUCCGGAGGAACACCAGUGGCGAAGGCGACCCGCUGGGUCACACCUGACACUGAGACGCGACAGCAUGGGGAGCGAACGGGAUUAGAAACCCUCGUAGUCC
rnacentral:rRNA from 1 species